rnacentral:rRNA from 1 species
CCUACGGGUGGCAGCAGUGAGGAAUAUUGGUCAAUGGCCGGAAGGCUGAACCAGCCAAGCCGCGUGAGGGAGGAAGGCGCUGAGCGUCGCAGACUUCUUUUGCCGGGGGAUAACAGGCCGGACGGGUCGGGUUCUGAGGGUACCCGGAGAAAAAGCAUCGGCUAACUCCGUGCCAGCAGCCGCGGUAAUACGGAGGAUGCGAGCGUUAUCCGGAUUCAUUGGGUGUAAAGGGAGCGCAGGCGGCGCGUUAAGCCUGGUGUGAAAGCCCGCGGCCCAACCUCGGGACUGCAUUGGGAACUGGCGCGCUGGAGUGCCGGAGGGGUAGGCGGAAUUCCUAGUGUAGCGGUGAAAUGCGUAGAUAUUAGGAGGAACACCAGUGGCGAAGGCGGCCUACUGGACGGUGACUGACGCUGAGGCUCGAAAGCGUGGGGAGCAAACAGGAUUAGAUACCCUAGUAGUC